rnacentral:rRNA from 1 species
GACGAACGCUGGCGGCGUGCUUAACACAUGCAAGUCGAACGGAAAGGCCCUGCUUUUGUGGGGUGCUCGAGUGGCGAACGGGUGAGUAACACGUGAGUAACCUGCCCUUGACUUUGGGAUAACUUCAGGAAACUGGGGCUAAUACCGGAUAGGAGCUCCUGCUGCAUGGUGGGGGGUUGAAAGGUUUCGGCGGUUGGGGAUGGACUCGCGGCUUAUCAGCUUGUUGGUGGGGUAGUGGCUUACCAAGGCUUUGACGGGUAGCCGGCCUGAGAGGGUGACCGGCCACAUUGGGACUGAGAUACGGCCCAGACUCCUACGGGAGGCAGCAGUGGGGAAUAUUGCACAAUGGGCGGAAGCCUGAUGCAGCAACGCCGCGUGCGGGAUGACGGCCUUCGGGUUGUAAACCGCUUUCGCCUGUGACGAAGCGUGAGUGACGGUAAUGGGUAAAGAAGCACCGGCUAACUACGUG